CGAACGGGUGAGUAACACGUGGGCAACCUGCCCUCAGCUCUGGGAUAACUCCGGGAAACCGGUGCUAAUACUGGAUAUCGACUUCUGCCUCGCAUGGGGUGUUGUUGAAAGUUUUUCGGCUGGGGAUGGGCCCGCGGCCUAUCAGCUUGUUGGUGGGGUGAUGGCCUACCAAGGCGACGACGGGUAGCCGGCCUGAGAGGGCGACCGGCCACACUGGGACUGAGACACGGCCCAG
rnacentral:rRNA from 1 species